rnacentral:rRNA from 1 species
GAGUUUGAUCAUGGCUCAGGAUGAACGCUAGCGGCAGGCUUAAUACAUGCAAGUCGAGGGGCAGCGCGGGUAGCAAUACUUGGCGGCGACCGGCAAACGGGUGCGGAACACGUACGCAACCUUCCCAAAACUGGGGAAUAGCCCUCCGAAAGGAGGAUUAAUACCCCGUAACACAAUUAAGAGGCAUCUCUUGAUUGUUAUAGCUCAGGCGGUUUUGGAUGGGCGUGCGGCUGAUUAGGUAGUUGGCGGGGUAACGGCCCACCAAGCCAUCGAUCAGUAACUGGUGUGAGAGCACGACCAGUCACACGGGCACUGAGACACGGGCCCGACUCCUACGGGAGGCAGCAGUAAGGAAUAUUGGUCAAUGGACGCAAGUCUGAACCAGCCAUGCCGCGUGAAGGAUGAAGGCCCUCUGGGUUGUAAACUUCUUUUAUCUGGGACGAAAAAAGGGGAUUCUUCCUCACUUGACGGUACCAGAGGAAUAAGCACCGGCUAACUCCGUGCCAGCAGCCGCGGUAAUACGGAGGGUGCAAGCGUUAUCCGGAUUCACUGGGUUUAAAGGGUGCGUAGGUGGGCAGGUAAGUCAGUGGUGAAAUCUUCGAGCUUAACUCGGAAACUGCCAUUGAUACUAUCUGUCUUGAAUAUCCUGGAGGUGAGCGGAAUAUGUCAUGUAGCGGUGAAAUGCUUAGAUAUGACAUAGAACACCAAUUGCGAAGGCAGCUCACUACGGGAUGAUUGACGCUGAGGCACGAAAGCGUGGGGAUCAAACAGGAUUAGAUACCCUGGUAGUCCACGCCCUAAACGAUGGAUACUCGACAUAUGCGAUACACUGUAUGUGUCUGAGCGAAAGCAUUAAGUAUCCCACCUGGGAGUACGACCGCA